rnacentral:lncRNA from 10 species
CGGAAAAGCGCAGUAUUCGGGUGGGAGUGACCCGAUUUUCCAGGUGCCGUCUGUCACCCCUUUCUUUGACUUGGAAAGGGAACUCCCUGACCCCUCGCGCUUCCCAGGUGAGGCAAUGCCUCGCCCUGCUUCGGCUCGUCCACGAUGCGCGCACCCACUGGCCUGCGCCCACUGUCUGGCACUCCCUAGUGAGAGAAACCCGGUACCUCAGAUGGAAAUGCAGAAAUCACCCGUCUUCUGCGUCGCUCACGCUGGGAGCUGUAGACCGGAGCUGUUCCUAUUCGGCCAUCUUGGCUCUCCCUUAGUCUAGAUUGCAGCUAAUCUUCCCCUUACAUGACACCUACAAGUUAAACAAACUGCAACUAGGAAGAUCGUGAUCAUUUGACUAGGACCUGGAUUGUUUGAGAGAGGCAGUCUAAAAGUAAGUUUUUACUAAUUAUUUUUGAACCUUGUAAUGGCAUUUUAAGCAACUGCUUUCACCUACAAUAAUAGUUACUUAUUUUACUUUUCCUGAAUAAGCCAGGCUCUUUCCUAAGUUUAUUAAAUGUAUUGUCUACUCUACCCCUUAUACCACAGACUCACAAUGUAGAUACUAUCAUGAUUAUAAUAAUCAUACUAUUAAUAAAAAUUAAUAUUACUUUAUUUGUAUUAUGGCUACUAUUGUUCUAUUGACAAAAAGAGAAGAGAGGUUAAGUAACGCGCAUAGAGAGAUAAGUACCAGGUCCCCAAAUAAACCUCAACCAUGUGGUUAAAGCCUAUUAAUAGCCUGACCACAAGCCCUCUGAGGUGGGAGCCUGGACACUUAAUAUCCUAUUAAUCCCUACUGUGCUGUGGGCUAGAGCCUAUGUGUCCCUUCAAGGAGCACAGGGAUGUUAAGUGUGGGUCUGUAGCUCUGGGGAGCUGUUUUCCUUUUAGGAAUACUCCUUGCUAGUUUUCAAAUAAUUCUUUAGCACUGAAGUUGGGACCCCUGAGACAUUUUUUUAUGUUCUAAAGACCACUCUGUUAGUUAAGUAAACCUGACUACAACCUUGAACAAAUUUAUAAUCUAUUGAAAUGUUACAGUAAAAGAAAUGCGAAGGUAAAGCAAAAAUUCUAAUUAUUUCAAAGGUAAUUGCAAACUAUCUAGCUGCCCUGAGAGUCUCCCCAAAGUCCCGGCAUUGCUUGGCACUACCACACCCUGUUUUCUGGAGGAUUUUUAGUUCAAACACGUACCUAAAUUUGACCAGAUAUCUAAAUUCCCAUUUGGAGACACAUCAUGGCAUGUAGGAUACUUUCCUACUUUUUCGCUAAAAAAGGUUUUCGAUCGAAAGUUGAAUGCUGUGGAUGUUGAAGUCCCAUGCGUCUGAGGUCCCAAGUCUCAGAAGCCUUUCCUCAUGCUGUUUCCAUACGUGUUUUCAGUUCUUGGAAUGAAAUUCUCAGAUUAGAACGCAUCAGACCUCUCUUAGUUCUCAUGGAGUAUGUAGAGGCCAUGAUGAACUGAAGAUUUCUCUCUGGUGUGGAUAUGUUUUCUCUUUUACCUCUGAACUUCUACAUCAAGACUUCGUGUGAAUGAGCUCUGCUUUUGAGGAUUCAUGACUCUUUUCCUCCAUGAUUUGAAAAUGUAUAUUCAAAAGAUUAAAAGAUGGAGCUGGCCGAGUGAGGUGGCUCAUGCCUGUAAUCCCAGCACUGUGGGAGGCCGAAGCAGGUGGAUCACUUGAGGUCAGCAGUUCAAGACCACCCUGGCCAACAUGGUGAAACCCUGCCUCUACUAAAAAUACAGAAAUUAGCCAAGUGCAAUGGCAGGCACCUGUAAUCCCAGCUACUCGGGAAGCUGAGGAUGGAGAAUCACUUGAACCCUGGAGGCAGAGGUUGCAGUGAACUGAGAUCACACCACAGCACUCCAGUCUGGGUGACUCAGUCUUGAAAAAUGAAAUGAAAUAAAAUAAAAUAAAAGAUAGAGCUGGAGUUUUGCUGGUUACUAUUAUUUAAUCAGAGGACAUAUCACCCUCCUCACAAAGGUGAGAAUCACACAGUCCCAGGAGGUUGUUUGGGCACCAGCUACAGGCCCACAGUCACCGUCAGCAAAAUCAAAUGUGUGUGUUACACACAGACGUCUCAUCUCCAUGGGCUUAUAGACACCAGGCUAGGCAACUAAAAGGGAAAAGUAUUUUUUAUUUUUAUUUUGUUUCUUCCAAGUUAAAGCAUGCUUUUCCUGUUUAUAAAACUUCUGUUUUUGGAAACACUUCUCACUGUACUUUACCAUGAGCAAGGUAAGAUAAGUUUUAUAAGUAGGAAAGCAUGCUUUUAUUUUUGUUUUUAUUUUAUACAAGUAAAGAAGAAAAUAAAAGCAAAACAAAAAUUUAUCUCUCUCAAGUGUCUACUCUCAAUGUUUUGUGCUUGCCACACCCCAUAGUCUAUACACAUACAUACUUACAAAGAGGAUUGUUCACCUGUGGGCUUGUUUAACAUACAUUUAUUUUAUAAUGUAUCAUAUAUAUCUUUUCAUAAUUUUUAAAAAAUUAUCUCUUCACUAUAAUGACUACAUAUGUUUGCAUUCUGGGGUGUUAAUUUAAUUUAAUUAGCAAAUCAUUUAUCAAUGCAUAUUUACUGUGACUAUGAUUGUUUAUAUUUUAACUAAUGUUGUGAUGACAUUCUUGUGUAUAUUUUGUUGCAAUACAUUUCCCAAAGGACAAUUUUUCAGCCUUAGGUUUUUCACAUUUCAUAUCUCUGAGACUGUGCUCCAUAAAGCUAUAUGGAUUUGGAUCCCCGUUAGAGACGUGUCUACACUCAUUUCUGAUAAAUGCACACAGGUAUCUCCAGGACUUAUGCCCUGCCCAGAAUACACUGGUUUUCUAUAAAUACUGUUGAAUGAAUAAAUGUAUCUUUAACAUUACCAUGGUGUUUUUUAACCUCUGUCAACAUGAGAAGCAAAACCUACCUCCUUGUUUUAAUUUACAUUUGUUUAAUUGCCUGUGAGGCCCAACAUCUUUUCAUAAAUGCCUGGCUAAUUUGUGUAUUUAUUUUUCCUCUUGUGAACUGCCUACUCAUUUUCUUUUGAUGUUAUUGAUGUGUAGGAUUCUCCUUGUUGACUUGUAAGAAUAAUUUAGAAACUAGUGAGUAAAUCUUUGUUUUGUGUGUCAAUUUUUUUUCAAUUAUUUGCUUGUCUUUUAUUGUUUGGUUGCUUUUACCUUAGGUAAAAAGGUAAGUGUUAUGUCUUUCUCCAGGUUUAAUUUAUUUAUUUUUUUGGAGGAGGGAUAUUCUGGGUCUUUACUACAUAACCCACCUCUACUCCAAAAGCAUAAUUUUUCACUAUUUUUAUAAACAUUAAUAUAUGUCCCAAACAUAAUUUUUGUCCUCAUUUUUUUAGAACACAGAACAACACACAGUUUUAGAACAUAAAGCAUAAAAUUUUUGAGUGUAUUAGUCUGUUCUCAUGCUGCUUAUAAAGACAUACCCAAGACUGGGUAAUUUAUAAAGAAAAGAGGUUUAAUGGACUCACAGUUCCACAUGGCUGGGGGAGCCUCACAAUCAUGGCAGAAGACGAAUGCGGAGCAGAGUCACAUCUUACAUGGCUGCAGGCAAUAGAGAUUGUGUAGGGGAACUGCCCUUUAUAAAACCAUCAGAUCUCGUGAGACUUAUUCACUAUCAAGAGAACAGCAGGGAAAAGACCUGCCCCAUGAUUCAAUUACCUCCCACUGGGUCCCUCCCACAACAUGUGGGGAUUAUGGGAGCUACAAUUCAAGAUGAAGUUUUGGGGGGGACACAGCCAGACCACAUCAAAGGGUCUUCAUUUGAAUUGUUUUCCACAUGAGGAUGAGAAGAUUUCUAUUUUUUUAAUUUAAAUACUAGUCAGCUGAGUAUUUUUUACUCAGUAUCAUUUACUGAAAACCUAACUUUUCCCCAGAGUUGAAAGGACAUCUCUGUUAAAUAUGAGAUUUGCAUAUAAAACUGGAUAAAGCUUAAACUCUGAAUUCUCUUCUUCUUAUCCCCCCAUCUAUUGCUAGGCCUGUAACAUACCCUACCAUUUGAAUUAUUUACCUUUCAAGUGCAUUUUAUGUUUUCUUAAUUUAUAUGGUCCUCUUUAUGCUUCCUUGCAUAAUUCCCACUCCCAUUUUUGUAUAUUUAUUUUCUGGAUAAGCUUUAGAAUAAUUGCUGUUGUGUUUUAAAAUAUUGGUGGAACUUUAUUAAGAUGCUAUUGAAUAUAUGAAUUAAAUUGGGAAGACUUGUCAUCUUAAUGAAAUAGAAUCUUCCCAUCUAAGAAGCAGGUAUGAUUUUCAAUAUUUCAUCAUAUGUUUAUACAUACAACAUGGCUUUUAAAUUUCAUUUCAGGAAAGUAUAGAAAUAUGGGCUGACUUGCUAUCAUUUUUUUUUUUUUUGAGAUGGAGUUUCAUUCUUGUUGCCCAAGCUGGAGUGUAAUGGCGUGAUCUUGGCUCACUGCAACCUCGGCCUCCCAGGUUCAAGCAAUUCUCCUGCUUCAGCCUUCUGAGUAGCUAGGAUUACAGGCAUGCGCCACCACAGAUGACUAAUUUUGUAUUUUUAGUAGAGACAGGGUUUCUCCAUGUUGGUCAGGCUGGUCUCGAACUCCCAACCUCAGGUGAUCCACCCGCCUUGGCCUCCCAAAAUGCUGGGAUUAUAGCCAUGAGCCACCGCGCCCGGCCCAAGAGUUGCUAUCUUAAUGAAAUAUAACCUUCCCAUCUAAGAAGCAGGUAUGAUUUUCAAUAUUUCAUCGUAUGUUUGUAUAUACAAUGUGACUUUUAAAUUUCAUUUCAAAAAAGUGUAGAAAUAUUAAAAAUGAUAUAUAAAUAAAUAGCAAUUGAAGGUCAUUCAGCUCUCCAGGCAUUCUGCUCAGUAAACAGCCUCUGUGUACCUUCUGAAACAUUGCAUUGCAAUGUUGAAUGAAGGGCUCAGAUAAUCUCAACAUUUGUCUCCAAAAUAUUCCUUUUUAAAUCCGUCAUGCAUGGAUUUACGGAAUGAAUCACUCACAGCCUUUGCUGGUCCUGAAGGUCUGGAGCCCUCACCAUGUCUUGGGGAGAAUGGAGUUUCACCUCCCAAAUGCCUGCUGUCAUGGGGGAGCUGCUCCUCAUUUAGUGGAAAACAGGUCUUUCCCACCUCCAGGGCUGCCUUUGCCUUCACCAUUCCCUUAUUCUUUUACUUCUUGGCUUGGUCAUUGUGUAAGCUUUGAUUAUAUCAUUGUUCAGUGUUUAAAUUUAAUAGGAAAGGUUUCUAAUAUCUUUAGCCUGGUCUCAGACAUAGCCUCAACUUUCUGAUUCUCUGGUGGAACUGCAGUUUUAUGAGCCAGGUACUGCCACUGUCUCUCAUUCACAACGGAAGGCUUGAGGCUGAGUGGAACGAAUAUGGUCAUACCACUUAAGAAGUGGAGCCAGGAAGCAAGCCCCAUCAGCAGGACCCAGGAGUCAAUAUGUUCUGCAUUGCUGAAGUUGAGAGCAAUAUUGUGCCCAUCUCUGAAACAGAGAUAAAAUAAUGCUACAGUUGGAUCAGAAAAGAAAAAUGAAAAAAAUAAAAGCUUUGAGGAAGAACUUUGAUGGAAGAAACUAUUUCCAUGACCCUUUUCCUCUCUGUCUACAAUGGCAUCACCUUCUUGGUGAAGGGACAUUGAGAUGCUACGGCUGAGAAUGCAGAGUGAAGAGCCCUUGGAGGCCCUACCAGCUGCUACCAGCCUCCUGUCUUCCCUGCCUGGGUCCAUGGCUGGCCUGCCCUGGCAUCCAUGUGGCUUCUGGACUGAGUUCCAGCUGGUGAGAUGCGAGGGGAAGCUGCACCUGCUGCACCCAGACCUGGCUCAUACAACCUUGCACAGGCGACCUCGGGGGGUUUUCCUUCUGUGGACGGACAGCCCAACAAGCUUGGAGCCCAUAAGCUGAGGGUGAAGAGUCUCUGAAUUGCUGCUUGGAGAACAGCCUGCUGCCAGCUAGGAUUGCCUGGUUUGGAUUUUAUCUGAGAGAGAAAUAAACUGCUUUUAUUGUGUUGGACCCAUUGGGCAUUUUGAGCUGAUCAACUAAUAUUACUAACUCCUUUAGUUAUAUGUCCUUCCUUUUAAAAGGUCUAUGAAAGAUGAUUUAAAAAUACAUUCAUGUUGCAUGUUAAAGUAUAUUUCAAAUAAUUGAGAAACUCUAAGUAGGAUAAGAAUAAAGUUAGGAAAUGAGGAUGGAGCCAGGAAUGAAGCUGUUCUGAAAUGGGGGGAACAUGAAGCCCCAUUCUCUGGCUUAGGGGACAAGUUUGAAUCCAAACUAGAAACGGAGGACAGGAAAAGGGAAAUAGAAUCAAUGGCAGAAGAAAAACACAAGUAGAAAUAAUAUCAGUGAUGGCAUUGCAUCUGUCAUCUGGACUGAAGCAUUUAUUUACUGUGAGAAACCCUUUAGGAAUCUAUUUUCAUCCUUUUAUGUAGAUAAAGACAUCGAUAUAGUUGACAUCAAUACAGAUCAAACAUAGACAGUGAUCUAGUUAUAGACACAGACCUAGACUUAGACAUGGGUUUAGAUACAGCUUAGAAAUGCCUUUAUUUCCCACUCUCCUCUCAGCCUCCACCGGUGUGUGAAAUUGUCCAAUCAGAGUCUCCUUUUGAGUCAUCCAUGGACGACUACUCAUUAGCUAACUCAUCUGGCCUCUUUCUUCCUCUAACCUUUUCUUCCCUUUUCUCUGUGCCUCUUCGCCUGCCCCAACUUAGUCCUGAGCAUCUGUGACCUCCUGCUCACUGUGCAUGCCUGCAGCUCUGACUCCUGUCCCGCAAAGUUUCUUGUUCUUCAAAUCUUAUUCUGGGUCACUCCUGUUUUUCUCAAGGAUGCCUGUGGCUUUAUCUCCCUUUCCUUAAUGAUGCACCUCAAACCUCCGUCUCCCCCUGAAAUGCCUCCUCAUUUACCUAACAGGCUGGUGACUGUCCCCUCUGGUGCCUGACCUAGGAAACUGACACAUCUCACAUUCGGAACAAAGGCUGUGCCCUCCUCGACAGUCCUCUACCUGGGGUCUCACUGCAUUGCCAUUGUUUCAGGGCUGCUUCCCAAGCCAGAGAAGUAGCAGCCAUCCUGGAUCGAUUCCUUCCUCUCCCCACAGAUUCCAUCAGUCCACAGUGCUGCUGACUUUGCUUUCUGCACGUUUCUUAGAUUUCCCACUUCUCGCCAUCACCACCCUGGGAGCCACUUGCAAAGUACUGGCCUGGUCACCAUCGCCUCUCGCCAGCUUACAGCAGGUGUCCCCUAUCCAGCCCACCUUCCUCCAGUCUUGCUCCAGUUCAGUAACUUAUUCUAGCAUCUUUAGUAAGUCAUGUGCUGGGGCUGACGUGCCUCUACAUGGCUCCUCCUUCUUGUCUUCCUCUCCUUUGCUAGCAUUACUGACAUAGCCUGCAUGUCCCUUUGUGCCAGGAACCGUUUAAGGUGAUUUUCUGCUAUUAUCCCAUUUAAUCCUCAAUAUAGCUCUCUGAAGAAGGUAGCCUAGUCACCCUCCUAGGAUGGCGAGGCAACCAAGACUGUGUAGUGCCUUCCCCUUGCACGCAUAAGGUCACCUGCACAUUGUUCUCUGCUUGUGGCAUUAUUUCCUCCAGCUUCACAGGGAGAAUCUCAACCCAUCUUUCAUCCCUAAUUAUGGACACCAUCUGCUCAACAAAGGCAUAUGGUGCUCCUCCAUCUGCCCAGAGAGUUGCUGAGCCUCUGUACAUCAACAGCCUUUAGCUGCCUCUACGCCGUGAUUGGGAGGAAGCUCCCUGAGGACAGGGCCAUAUCUGACAUUUCCUCAGUUACAUUUUCCACACUGAGCAUAAUAUGGUCACAUAGGGGGCACUUAUUAAAUACUUCCCUAAAACAUGAGUAAACAUGACAUCAAAAAGGUAUCACUCACUGCAAGGAAAAUAUAGCUUAUGACAUUUUACAAAUGUAUGAAAAUUUAAAUGUAUUUUUUGUUCAUGAAUAGUCACUGUGGUGCACGUAAUAUAUUUAACCAGGAGUAUGUGGCUUAGUGAGUUAAUGCAAGUGAGAAAUAUGUACCCACAUGAAACACCUCAUAUAUGAAGUUUUUUUUUUUUUUGACAGAGUUUUGCUCGGUCACUCACGGCAACCUCCGCCUCCUGGGUUCAAGCAGUUCUCCUGCCUCAGUCUCCCGAGUAGCUGGGACUCUACAGGCAUCCCCCAUCAGGUAAUGGCAGCCCUGCCCUGCCACAGCGGCCUGAUGCAGUACAGGAACCUGUCUCUCCUCUAUGUCGGUGGAUUAAAAUGAACCAGACAGCACCAAAUCCUGGGAAAUGGUAGAAGCCAAGGCCCUGAGAUUACACUGGACCAGCUGACUCAUGGGGAAUCCUCAGGUGAUGGGAAGACAUGGGGGAGCUCUCCAGCAAUUGUGGUUAAUGCUGGUGCAGGACAGGCUUUCAUGACCAUCAAAACUACUGCCACCACCAAAAUUCAGUGGAUGCCUGCGUGAGUUGGGGUGAAAUGGCAUCUUGAACCUUUCAAAUGACAUUCAUCCCAGAUGUCAUCUCAAGGAUAUGGACUUCUCUUCCAGCCUGUUCUACAUCCGUGGAAAUCAUGUCCUCUCCUGGGUAACUAUGUCCAUGAUCUGUGUUUUAUGAAUAUGGCCACAUUCAACCUCUUUUGGCCCCUGAGCAUGUGCUGGCUUGUGGAUUGUUUUUGUUGUUUAUUUCAUCAGCACAUGGAGCAUACAGAGUUAGUAUAUAUUAUUUAACAGAAAAACACAUUAUCUGGUCCAAAGGAAGGUGAUAUGUUAUCUCUUAUAUGAGGGUAGACUCCUCCAUUCGUGAUCUAAAGUUUCUUUGGAAGGAAAGGAGAUUGUGAUUUAUAAGUAGACUUUAUCAUGGAAAGAAAAUAUAUACAAUUAAACUUUUUACAAUCAUGAAUGAAAUAAAAACUGUGAAAAUAAAUUUAUACUGGAAGUCAUGAACAAGUGCAAAUAUGAGGGAUUGCAGGGGCUUUGAAAAAUAUAAAGAUGGACAAGAGAAGUUUCUUUACACAAUGGUUAGCAAAUUUAUAGAACUUAGCAUAUUUAUAGAGCCUCACGAGUGUCAUUAAACUACAUUAUGCAAGUAGGUUUAAGUAGACUGUAUAAUAGUGUCAAGGAUGGAGAACUAUAAUAACUGUUAAGAAUGGCCACAGAUGUUUUAAGCAAUGGCAAAGUCAGGGAAUAUAAUUUUUAAGACAGUGGAAGGUAAUUACACUAAGUGCCAAUGGCAGAUGAGAUUCUUUGUGUUAAGUAUUGCAAGUUGGAUCCCAAAGCACGUUUAAUAUUUUCACAAGGAGAUUUUCACAAGGAGAGUAUGCUCUCCUUUCAGAUGUAUUACAGAAUCAUAACUUGAAAUGUAAUGAUAGAUUUGUGUGCUCAGAGAAUGCUGGGUUAUGCUUAGAAAAAAGUGAAAAGGCAUUGUUGUAAAAAGCCUUCUAAGAAAUAAUAUUUAUGAAACUGAAGAAGGCAUCAUGUGUAAGUUUUAUAGUUUUAAGCUAACAUUUAUGUCUGAUGAUUCAUUAUGAAUUAAAUUUUGCAUAUGGUAUUGAUGUAUAAUUUUUAUUUUUUGUUUUGUUUUCAUUUCCUUGCACAUGAAAACCUGUUUGUCCCAGCACCAUUUGUUGAAAGAUUAUCUUUACUCUGUUGAUUUACCUUUGCACUUUCGUGAAAACUCAGUUGUCAUAUGUGAGGAUUUGUUUUUGCUCUGUAUUUUUUACUAUUGAUCUGUCUAUGUUUAUGUCAAUACCAC